AGUGACCGAUAGCGCAUAGUACUGUGAAGGAACGGUGAAAAGAACCCCGGGAGGGGAGUGAAAGAGAACCUGAAACCCUGUGUUUACAAGCUGUGGAAGAGCUUUAUAUGCUCAACCGCGUACUUUUUGUAGAACGGUCCGGCGAGUUACGCUUACUGGCAAGGUUAAGCACUAAAGGUGUGGAGCCGAAGGGAAACCAAGUCUUAAUAGGGCGAAAUAGUCAGUAGGAGUAGACCCGAAACCGGGUGACCUACCCAUGUCCAGGAUGAAGUUGCCGUAAAAGGCAAUGGAGGUCCGAACACACAUCCGUUGAAAAGGGUGGUGAUGAGGUGUGGGUAGCGGAGAAAUUCCAAUCGAACCCGGAGAUAGCUGGUUCUCCUCGAAAUAGCUUUAGGGCUAGCCUCAAUUUAGUCUUGCGGAGGUAGAGCACUGAAUAUCCUAGGGGGCGUCAAAGCUUACCGAAGAUUAUCAAACUCCGAAUGCCGUUAAGAUGAUGAUUGGGAGUCAGACUGCACGAGAUAAGUUGGGUAGUCAAAAGGGAAACAGCCCAGACCUCCAGCUAAGGUCCCAAAGUGAGUGUUAAGUGGAAAAGGAUGUGGGAUUUCGAAGACAACUAGGAUGUUGGCUUAGAAGCAGCCAUACAUUCAAAGAGUGCGUAAUAGCUCACUAGUCGAGAGGUCCUGCGCCGAAAAUGUCCGGGGCUAUAGGGACGAAGCUGUACCGAAAGGAGCAGUGGACUGAUAAGAAGAGAGAAUGCCGGAAUGAGUAGCGAGAGUAAGGUGAGAAUCCUUACGGCCGAAUAUCUAAGGUUUCCAGGGUAAAGCUGAUCUGCCCUGGGUUAGUCGGGGCCUAAGGCGAGGUCGAAAGACGUAGUCGAUGGAUAACAGGUUGAUAUUCCUGUACUACAAUAUAUCAGAACUGUGGGGACACAGACAGAGAGCCAGAGCCGGGAAUGGAGAAACCGGUACAAGCGAGGUAGGAGUGCAUCAGGCAAAUCCGGUGCACAAUCUGAAGACGUGAUGUGGAGCGAAACUAUAAGUAGCGAAGCUGGUGAGCUGGCUGUCGGGAAAAGCCGCUAUUGUGUAUAUUGUACCCGUACCGUAAACCGACACAGGUGGAUGAGGAGAGAAUCCUAAGGCCGACGGAAGAAGCAUUGUUAAGGAACUCGGCAAAAUGGCCCCGUAACUUCGGGAUAAGGGGUGCCUACGCAAGUAGGCCGCAGAGAAUUGGCCCAAGCAACUGUUUAGCAAAAACACAGGUCUAUGCGAAACCGUAAGGUGAUGUAUAUGGGCUGACGCCUGCCCGGUGCUGGAAGGUUAAGGGGAGAGGUUAGACGUAAGUCGAAGCUUUAAACUUAAGCCCCAGUAAACGGCGGCCGUAACUAUAACGGUCCUAAGGUAGCGAAAUUCCUUGUCGGGUAAGUUCCGACCCGCACGAAAGGCGUAAUG
rnacentral:rRNA from 1 species